ACCCAGCUGACGAGUCCCAAAUAGGACGAAAUGUGCGUCAAACUAGAU
rnacentral:hammerhead_ribozyme from 1 species